rnacentral:rRNA from 1 species
GAUGAACGCUGGCGGCGUGCCUAAUACAUGCAAGUCGAGCGAACAGAUGAGGAGCUUGCUCCUCUGACGUUAGCGGCGGACGGGUGAGUAACACGUGGAUAACCUACCUAUAAGACUGGGAUAACUUCGGGAAACCGGAGCUAAUACCGGAUAAUAUAUUGAACCGCAUCGUUCAAUAGUGAAAGACGGUUUUGCUGUCACUUAUAGAUGGAUCCGCGCCGCAUUAGCUAGUUGGUAAGGUAACGGCUUACCAAGGCAACGAUGCGUAGCCGACCUGAGAGGGUGAUCGGCCACACUGGAACUGAGACACGGUCCAGACUCCUACGGGAGGCAGCAGUAGGGAAUCUUCCGCAAUGGGCGAAAGCCUGACGGAGCAACGCCGCGUGAGUGAUGAAGGUCUUCGGAUCGUAAAACUCUGUUAUUAGGGAAGAACAAAUGUGUAAGUAACUAUGCACGUCUUGACGGUACCUAAUCAGAAAGCCACGGCUAACUACGUG